rnacentral:rRNA from 1 species
UACGAAGGGGGGCAAGCGUUGUUCGGAAUUACUGGGCGUAAAGGGCGCGUAGGCGGCUUGCCAAGUCAGGCGUGAAAUUCCCGGGCUCAACCUGGGGGCUGCGCUUGAUACUGGCUGGCUUGAAUGCGGGAGAGGAUAGUGGAAUUCCCAGUGUAGAGGUGAAAUUCGUAGAUAUUGGGAAGAACACCGGCGGCGAAGGCGGCUCACUGGCCAUAUACUGACGCUGAAGCACGAAGGCGUGGGGAUCAAACAGG